rnacentral:rRNA from 1 species
UACGUAGGGGCCUAGCGUUGUCCGGAAUUACUGGGCGUAAAGCGCGUGUAGGUGGUGGGACAAGUCUGCUGUGAAAGCCCCCGGCUCAACUGGGGAGGGUCACGCGAUACUGAUCGACUCGAAGGCAGGAGAGGGUAGUGGAAUUCCCGGUGUAGUGGUGAAAUGCGUAGAUAUCGGGAGGAACACCAGUGGCGAAGGCGACUACCUGGCCUGUUUCUUGACGCUGAGGCGCGAAAGCUAGGGGAGCAAACGGG